UACAGAGGGUGCGAGCGUUAAUCGGAUUUCCUGGGCGUAAAGCGUGCGUAGGCGGCUUUUUAAGUCGGAUGUGAAAUCCCCGAGCUUAACUUGGGAAUUGCAUUCGAUACUGGGAAGCUAGAGUAUGGGAGAGGAUGGUAGAAUUCCAGGUGUAGCGGUGAAAUGCGUAGAGAUCUGGAGGAAUACCGAUGGCGAAGGCAGCCAUCUGGCCUAAUACUGACGCUGAGGUACGAAAGCAUGGGGAGCAAACAGG
rnacentral:rRNA from 1 species